UUUAGCACUCUCUGGACGCCAGCCCGACCUCCUUCUGAUACACUUUCUCCUUUUGGUUUUUGCGGGCGGCACCGUGUAGUCCAUAAGAACCUGGGCUUUAGAUCCAUACAGAUUGGGGCUCACGUAAUGGACUCUGGUAUUUCAUGAUGUGACCGGAUCACGAAUUAGUUGUGAUACAGAUUCAGCUGUUGUAGCAAAGGACACAGUAAGGUGGCUUCAACAGGAUAGAAGCUUGUGUCCCUUCUGCAUAACAGAGUACGUGCUUCAGGGUUGAUGAGACAACUUUAUGGCAUCUCCUUUCUUGUUGUUCUACCAGCUUCUAUUUUCUGGUCCAAGACGUUGCUCCAGCUCCCACUGCCAAAUGUGCGUCCCAGACAGUAGGGAGGGUUGAGUGGUUGUGAAUCGCAGAGUCAGGAGAUGGAUGCUAGAACAUCUAAGAAGAAAGGGGCUCCCGGCAUCCUUUGAGGGUGUUGUGGCCUUCAGCAAUCAGUGAGGGACACUGACGUUUGGUAUGUGAUAAAGCUAGAAGUCUUCUACUUCUGAGUUGCUCUGAUUUUUAGAACAAACUAAUUUUGUUGCAUCUGAGACCUUGAUGUGAAAUCUAUGCCUCUUUCCUGACGGUUUUCAUUAUUCUGGUUGAUUACAGUUGCCAUCCAUUCUCACUGCGUAAGUUUCGUCUUUAAUAAUUAAAGGUUUAUUGUCAUUGCAUGGCCUAGAACCACAAGCCAGACUGCAACACUGGUCCAGGGUGCCAACUAUUGCCUGGAUCUGUGGCCUAAGGAAACACGGGCGCAGCAGUGAGACCACACAGAAUGAAAGCAUCCUCCACAGACGUGCCCACAUGGGGAGGGGCAGCGGAGGGUCAAGGAAGGUCUCCCUAACCCCUGAAAGGAUACCUCAAAAUGCAUCAAGCAAUACUGGAAUAGAAAGUGACUGGGAAACUGCCUGCAGAACCAAAGACAUCAAAAUGUAGCUAUCAUAACUCAAGUUAGCUCUUACACUGACCCUUGUUACUGGCAGCAAUGGAGGCCUGUUCUUUAUAUGUAUCAACUCGUUGGAUUCUCACAACUUCCUCCUGAGGUAUUUGUCCCAUUUUAUGCACAGUAACCAUUCCAUGAAUAUUUGCAUAAAUCUGGUGAUUCUUUUUUUCUUUUGCCAUCAAUCACCUUCCCAACAUCAUGGUGAGGCCCUUCUCCCCUUCUAUCUCUCUGUCUUUCAUCACCUCCUCACCAUCUUCAUGGCCUAGGUCUGGCCUGCAUUACUGAGGUGGCCUCUGAAAUGGUAUGUCAUUCUCUACCCUGCAGUUGGC
rnacentral:lncRNA from 1 species